GACGUAGGGCGCGAGCGUUGUCCGGAUUUAUUGGGCGUAAAGAGCUCGUAGGCGGCUUGUCGCGUCGACUGUGAAAUCCCGCGGCUCAACUGCGGGUCUGCAGUCGAUACGGGCAGGCUAGAGUUUCGGUAGGGGAGACUGGAAUUCCUGGUGUAGCGGUGAAAUGCGCAGAUAUCAGGAGGAACACCGAUGGCGAAGGCAGGUCUCUGGGCCGAUACUGACGCUGAGGAGCGAAAGCAUGGGUAGCGAACAGG
rnacentral:rRNA from 1 species